rnacentral:rRNA from 1 species
UAACACGUAUCCAACCUGCCGAUGACUCGGGGAUAGCCUUUCGAAAGAAAGAUUAAUACCCGAUGGCAUAGUUCUUCCGCAUGGUAGAACUAUUAAAGGAUUUCGGUCAUCGAUGGGGAUGCGUUCCAUUAGGUUGUUGGCGGGGUAACGGCCCACCAAGCCUUCGAUGGAUAGGGGUUCUGAGAGGAAGGUCCCCCACAUUGGAACUGAGACACGGUCCAAACUCCUACGGGAGGCAGCAUG